UAAGGAACUCCUGGGCUACCAGAAGCCAAAGAAGAAAUCUCUACAGAUAGUGCAUGAGCCUGAAAGUCUUGAGGAAGACAUGGGGAGUCUGGCAUUUUGGUGAUCAACUAACCCCUGGAGAUGUCCAGCCAAUGUCCAAGUAGGCUUAGGUCUCAGCAAGCAUGGCUUCAGGGCCCUCUGGCUGAUAUUGAUCCAAGAAGAAAUGCUGUGGUCAUAUCUGAUAUCACAGGGUGCUGUCAGUCAUGUCCUUAUCUCAUGGCGUCAGAAACCAUCUUAGAGAAGAGGACCCGAAAAACCAGUCACUUGCUAUUUUGCCACACUCGGCCACCCAGUCUCAGGCCCACCCAGCGGAUCUUGGUGCCAGCAAGAAAAGAUGCGGUUGCAGUUAGGCGUAAACAUGAGAACUUGUGUUAAAUGUGCUAAAUCGCAGCUAAUGGGAUGCCGGGCGUUUCUCUGUAAUGUGCAAUGGAAUGUAUAACAAUAUGCAUGUGUAAAGCCAUGCUACUUGAACUACCGGGCUUCCCAUUUAUAAAUAAGAUAUAUAUUAUGCACGGAAGUACUUAAUAUGAAGAAAUAUGGUAAGUAAUACAGAUUAUGUUCUAUGAAAGAAAUGAGGGAGCUAUGAUUUCUGGUCUUGUGAAUUCAGUUCUCAAACUUGGCCUACAGAAAUAGGAAAAAUGUGAGCAUCCAGAGCCCUCUCCCAAUUGGUACUACGGUCUCGUGGGGCUCUCUUACUAAGAACAUUCUUCUUUCAAGUGCAAGAGCAGUCCUGCAUUGUUCACAGGAUAAUAUUUUGUUACUGACUUAUAAUUGCUUCACUCAAAUAUAUUAUUGCCCC